rnacentral:rRNA from 1 species
UACGUAGGGCGCAAGCGUUAUCCGGAAUUAUUGGGCGUAAAGAGCUCGUAGGCGGUUUGUCGCGUCUGCCGUGAAAGUCCGGGGCUCAACUCCGGAUCUGCGGUGGAUACGGGCAGGCUAGAGUUCGGUAGGGGAGACUGGAAUUCCUGGUGUAGCGGUGAAAUGCGCAGAUAUCAGGAAGAACACCUGUGGCGAAGGCGGCUCUCUGGGACGGUACUGACGCUGAGACGCGAAAGCGUGGGGAGCGAACAGG